AUUGAACGCUGGCGGCAGGCCUCACACAUGCCCGUCGAACGCGUGGCGGACUGGUGAGUAAUGUCUGCGCCACCGCCUGAUGGAGGGGGGUUACUACUGGAACCGGUGCCUAAUACCGCAUACCAUCAACUGUUCCCAGAUGGGAGUAGCUUGUUAGUGGGGUAACGGCUCACCAAGGCGACGAUUCCUAGCUGGUCUGAGAGGCUGACCAGCCACACUGGGACUGAGACACGGGCCAGACUCCUACGGGAGGCAGCAGUGGGGAAUAUUGGACAAUGGGCGCAAGCCUGAUGAAGCAAUGCCGCGUGGAUGAAGAGGGCCUUCGGGUUGUAAAGGACUUUCAGCGGGGAGGCGUUAUCCGAAGAAGAAGCAACGGCUAACUCCGUGCCAGCAGCCGCGGUAAUUC
rnacentral:rRNA from 1 species